UACAGAGGUCUCAAGCGUUGUUCGGAUUCAUUGGGCGUAAAGGGUGCGUAGGCGGCGCGGUAAGUCGGGUGUGAAAUCUCGGAGCUUAACUCCGAAACUGCAUUCGAUACUGCCGUGCUUGAGGACUGGAGAGGAGACUGGAAUUUACGGUGUAGCGGUGAAAUGCGUAGAUAUCGUAAGGAAGACCAGUGGCGAAGGCGGGUCUCUGGACAGUUUCCUGACGCUGAGGCACGAAGGUCAGGGGAGCAAACGGG
rnacentral:rRNA from 1 species